rnacentral:rRNA from 1 species
UACGUAGGGUGCAAGCGUUGUCCGGAAUUAUUGGGCGUAAAGAGCUUGUAGGCGGUUUGUCGCGGCUGCCGUGAAAAUUCGAGGCUCAACCUCGAACUUGCGGUGGGUACGGGCAGACUAGAGUGUGGUAGGGGAGACUGGAAUUCCUGGUGUAGCGGUGAAAUGCGCAGAUAUCAGGAGGAACACCGAUGGCGAAGGCAGGUCUCUGGGCCACUACUGACGCUGAGAAGCGAAAGCAUGGGGAGCGAACAGG